rnacentral:rRNA from 1 species
CAACUUUCAGCAACGGAUCUCUUGGCUCUCGCAUCGAUGAAGAACGCAGCNAAAUGCGAUAAGUAAUGUGAAUUGCAGAAUUCAGUGAAUCAUCGAAUCUUUGAACGCACCUUGCGCUCCUUGGUAUUCCGAGGAGCAUGCCUGUUUGAGUGUCAUUA